UACGUAGGGUGCAAGCGUUAUCCGGAAUUAUUGGGCGUAAAGAGCUCGUAGGCGGUUUGUCGCGUCUGCUGUGAAAACUGGAGGCUCAACCUCCAGCCUGCAGUGGGUACGGGCAGACUAGGGUGCGGUAGGGGAGAUUGGAAUUCCUGGUGUAGCGGUGAAAUGCGCAGAUAUCAGGAGGAACACCGAUGGCGAAGGCAGGUCUCUGGGCAUUAACUGACGCUGAGGAGCGAAAGCAUGGGGAGCGAACAGG
rnacentral:rRNA from 1 species